UACGAAGGGGGCUAGCGUUGUUCGGAAUCACUGGGCGUAAAGGGCGCGUAGGCGGCUGUUCAAGUCGGGGGUGAAAUCCCGUGGCUCAACCACGGAAUGGCCUUCGAUACUGGACGGCUAGAGACCGGAAGAGGUGAGUGGAACUGCGAGUGUAGCAGUGAAAUGCGUAGAUAUCGAGAGGAACACCAGUGGCGAAGGCGAGUCCCUGGACAACUCCUGACGCUGAGGCACGAAAGCUAGGGGAGCAAACAGG
rnacentral:rRNA from 1 species